rnacentral:rRNA from 1 species
GAUGAACGCUGGCGGCGUGCCUAAUACAUGCAAGUCGAGCGAACGGACGAGAAGCUUGCUUCUCUGAUGUUAGCGGCGGACGGGUGAGUAACACGUGGAUAACCUACCUAUAAGACUGGGAUAACUUCGGGAAACCGGAGCUAAUACCGGAUAAUAUUUUGAACCGCAUGGUUCAAAAGUGAAAGACGGUCUUGCUGUCACUUAUAGAUGGAUCCGCGCUGCAUUAGCUAGUUGGUAAGGUAACGGCUUACCAAGGCAACGAUGCAUAGCCGACCUGAGAGGGUGAUCGGCCACACUGGAACUGAGACACGGUCCAGACUCCUACGGGAGGCAGCAGUAGGGAAUCUUCCGCAAUGGGCGAAAGCCUGACGGAGCAACGCCGCGUGAGUGAUGAAGGUCUUCGGAUCGUAAAACUCUGUUAUUAGGGAAGAACAUAUGUGUAAGUAACUGUGCACAUCUUGACGGUACCUAAUCAGAAAGCCACGGCUAACUACGUGCCAGCAGCCGCGGUAAUACGUAGGUGGCAAGCGUUAUCCCGAAAUUUUGGGCGUAAAGCGCGCGCAGCGGUCCUUUAGUCUGAUGUGAAAGCCCACGGCUCAACCGUGGAGGGUCAUUGGAAACUGGGGGACUUGAGUGCAGAAGAGGAAAGCGGAAUUCCACGUGUAGCGGUGAAAUGCGUAGAGAUGUGGAGGAACACCAGUGGCGAAGGCGGCUUUCUGGUCUGUAACUGACGCUGAGGCGCGAAAGCGUGGGGAGCAAACAGGAUUAGAUACCCUGGUAGUCCACGCCGUAAACGAUGAGUGCUAAGUGUUAGAGGGUUUCCGCCCUUUAGUGCUGCAGCUAACGCAUUAAGCACUCCGCCUGGGGAGUACGGCCGCAAGGCUGAAACUCAAAGGAAUUGACGGGGGCCCGCACAAGCGGUGGAGCAUGUGGUUUAAUUCGAAGCAACGCGAAGAACCUUACCAGGUCUUGACAUCCUCUGACACUCCUAGAGAUAGGAUUUUCCCCUUCGGGGGACAGAGUGACAGGUGGUGCAUGGUUGUCGUCAGCUCGUGUCGUGAGAUGUUGGGUUAAGUCCCGCAACGAGCGCAACCCUUGAUCUUAGUUGCCAGCAUUUAGUUGGGCACUCUAAGUUGACUGCCGGUGACAAACCGGAGGAAGGUGGGGAUGACGUCAAAUCAUCAUGCCCCUUAUGAUUUGGGCUACACACGUGCUACAAUGGACAAUACAAAGGGCAGCGAAACCGCGAGGUCAAGCAAAUCCCAUAAAGUUGUUCUCAGUUCGGAUUGUAGUCUGCAACUCGACUACAUGAAGCUGGAAUCGCUAGUAAUCGUAGAUCAGCAUGCUACGGUGAAUACGUUCCCGGGUCU